CCGAUAUCGGAUUAGCUAGUUGGUGAGGUAAAGGCUCACCAAGGCGACGAUCCGUAGCUGGUCUGAGAGGACGACCAGCCACACUGGAACUGAGACACGGUCCAGACUCCUACGGGAGGCAGCAGUGGGGAAUUUUGGACAAUGGGGGCAACCCUGAUCCAGCCAUGCCGCGUGAGUGAAGAAGGCCUUCGGGUUGUAAAGCUCUUUCAGACGGAAAGAAACGGUUACGGCUAAUACCCGUGACUAAUGACGGUACCGUCAGAAGAAGCACCGGCUAACUACGUGCCAGCAGCCGCGGUAAUACGUAGGGUGCGAGCGUUAAUCGGAAUUACUGGGCGUAAAGCGUGCGCAGGCGGUUUUGUAAGACAGACGUGAAAUCCCCGGGCUUAACCUGGGAACUGCGUUUGUGACUGCAAGACUAGAGUACGGCAGAGGGGGGUAGAAUUCCACGUGUAGCAGUGAAAUGCGUAGAUAUGUGGAGGAAUACCGAUAGCGAAGGCAGCCCCCUGGGUCGAUACUGACGCUCAUGCACGAAAGCGUGGGGAGCAAACAGGAUUAGAUACCCUGGUAGUCCACGCCCUAAACGAUGUCAACUAGGUGUUGGGGAAGGAGACUUCUUUAGUACCGCAGCUAACGCGAUAAGUUGACCGCCUGGGGAGUACGGUCGCAAGAUUAAAACUCAAAGGAAUUGACGG
rnacentral:rRNA from 1 species